GCCUGGCUGGCUCAGUUGGUAGAACAUGUGACUCUCAAUCUCAGGGUCGUGAGUUCAAGCCUCAUGUUGGGCG